AGCAGCCGCGGUAAUUCCAGCUCCAAUAGCGUAUAUUAAAGUUGUUGCAGUUAAAAAGCUCGUAGUUGAAUUUCGGGGUUAGUAGGUUGGUCAUGCCUCUGGUAUGUACUGGUCUCACUGAUUCCUCCUUCCUGAUGAGCCGUAAUGCCAUUAAUUUGGUGUUGCGGGGAAUUUGGACUGUUACUUUGAAGAAAUUAGAGUGUUUAAAGCAAGCUAACGCUUGAAUACAUUAGCAUGGAAUAAUGAAAUAGGACGUUCGAUCCUAUUUUGUUGGUUUCUAGGAUUGACGUAAUGAUUAAUAGGGAUAGUUGGGGGCAUUAGUAUUCAAUUGUCAGAGGUGAAAUUCUUGGAUUUAUUGAAGACUAACUACUGCGAAAGCAUUUGCCAAGGAUGUUUUCAUUAAUCAAGAACGAAAGUUAGGGGAUCGAAGACGAUCAGAUACCGUCGUAGUCUUAACCAUAAACUAUGCCGACUAGGGAUCGGAUGAUGUUAAUUUUUAAUGA
rnacentral:rRNA from 1 species